GACGAACGCUGGCGGCGUGCUUAACACAUGCAAGUCGAACGGAAAGGCCCUGCUUUUGUGGGGUGCUCGAGUGGCGAACGGGUGAGUAACACGUGAGUAACCUGCCCUUGACUUUGGGAUAACUUCAGGAAACUGGGGCUAAUACCGGAUAGGAGCUCCUGCUGCAUGGUGGGGGUUGGAACGUUUCGGCGGUUGGGGAUGGACUCGCGGCUUAUCAGCUUGUUGGUGGGGUAGUGGCUUACCAAGGCUUUGACGGGUAGCCGGCCUGAGAGGGUGACCGGCGACAUGGGGCCUGAGGUACGGCCCAGACUCCUACGGGAGGCAGCAGUGGGAAAUAUUGCACAAUGGGCGGAAGCCUGAUGCAGCAACGCCGCGUGCGGGAUGACGGUCUUCGGGUAGUAAACCGCUUUGGCCUGUGACGAAGCGUGAGUGACGGUAAUGGGUAAAGAAGCACCGGCUAACUACGUG
rnacentral:rRNA from 1 species